UCUCGAUCACCCCUCCUUUCUUCUCUACUUUUCUGCUGUGUUACAAGCCACCGCGACGCCGCCCUCUGCCGCCGCGAUUCUCCGGCUAGUGUUGUCGCGGUUUCAAUCAAGCCGCCUGUGUAUUUCCGGCGAGCUCUCCACCCCGCACCUCCAGUUCAAUUAGUGGUAUAAAUUGUUUUAUUUCCUCUUUUCAUUAUAAAAUCAGUUUAUAUAUAUGGGUGUAUGUAAUUGUGAUGUGAUUACUGGGUAUACACCUUUUCUUCAAUAAAUCAGAGUAUAUAUGUGUGUAUAUGAUCAGAUUGCUAGUUGGGAGAUUUGUUUGAUAUGAAUAUCAAUUCGAUAUAUAAAUGAAGUAUAAGAGUUGGUUGCUAUGUGUUUUGAGUCUACAAAUUAAUGGGUGUUGAUAUUUGAUUUGAGAAUAUGAGUUUUGGGUAAUUUGUAUUGCGAUAUGAAAAAUUGAUAAUGCUAAAGCUUGGUUUUAUCUAAAUUCGGAUAAACUAGUGAUAUUGGUUUAUAUUGUAAGUGUAAGUUGAGGUCUGAAAUAAUUGGAUUGAGCUAACUUGAGUAAUUGAAGUAUAACUUGCGAAUUAUUUAGUCAAUUGAUUGUUAUGUUUAAUUUCGCAGCAACACUGUCCUGUUUUCUAGCUCUGUUUUGGGACUGUUGAAUUCGAGUGAUAUGCUCAAUUUCUUUGUGAUUAUAUGCUCCUUAGAGUCUAGUUUAUGUGCGCGAAAGAAUCGAUUCGAUUCGACUAGCGAGCUAGGAGAGAUAUGACCGUUUUAGUAUGGUAUGCGCUGAAAAUUCUGGGCAGGUGUGUCCUGUUCCUAGCCCUGUUUUGCUACCUUUGACUCGGUAUUUACUUCUGAAAUUUUUACUGAAGAUAUAUGUUGGGGUCUGGAAUGUGUCAUUAAAAUUCUAUACAAACAGACCAAUUUUUCUAUUUAUUAAAAAUCUUAGCAUCGGGCUGGUUUUGCAGGACAAUUUCUGGUGCCUGAUUUGCAGGCCUGUUUUACAGCUUUAAACUUGGAGUUUCUUCCUGAAAAGUUUACUGUAGGUUGGAAUAAUGGUUGGGAGUGUCCCAUAAAAAUUUCGUAUUAAAACGAUAUAUUUUCAAUUUAUUAAAAAUUAUAGAAUGAAGGUUGUUUGAACUAUUUGCUCUAGUUUUCUUUCUUUGUUAGUGCAUAAUACGAGGUUCUACUUGAUUAAUUGCAUAUGAUUGAUUAUUAAAUUGAUUGGCUCAGUUGACCUUGUAUAUGUUAUUAAACGUAUUUUGUGUAUAGUGAAUUAGCAAACAUGCUAAAAGCUUUUCUUAUGUGUUUUAUCGCAAGUCAAGGGAUCUUUUUAUAUUAAUAAUUCAUGUGUUAGCAAUAGUAUUGGUUGGUUGUUGGUAUUGCAAACAGGUGGAUAAGCCUAUAAACAAAGGAGAUGCUGCCGAAUUUUCGUUAGAAAUUAUAUGUAUUUAAUGGCUAUAAAAAGAGUUGUUUGUACAACUAUGUGCUAUGUGUUUAUCUGAUUAUGUGGUAUGCAUAUGCGAAGGGUAGAUAUAUAUAGGUCUUAAUGUUUUUCAGGGUUAGUUAAUCCGUCUAAUUCGACGAUUGAAAUACUAUUUUACUAUCGUAUAGAAUUGAAGACAUUGACCGAGGCAUUGAUCGAGAAUCGAUUGCAAUGGGUAUUCAGAAAUAGCCAAGUAGUGUUGCAAGUUGAAGUAGAGCGAAGAUUUGUUAUAGAUAAAAGCUUGUCAGAAGUUGACAAAAAGGAAUGAUAUGGCGGUAUAUAGUAUUAUUAGAAAUCUGAGCUAGACACUGGAGUUAAGGCAAGUACUCUAACCCUUCACUUAUUGUUCAAGUGAGAUAUUUGAUUCAAUCAUGAUAUCGAUAGAUUGAUUACUCUCAAGAUUUAUUGCAAGUACUUCUACCUUUCUCUUGCAAAUUGGAAGCAAGUGAACUUUUCUUAAACUUUUGAUUCUUGCAAAUGCAUGACUUAAGUACGAUUUUGAUUUGAAAGGUUGACAUACCAAAUUGGUACACAUGGUUUCAAAAUAUUUAUAAAUAAUUUUCAUAACUCGGUUUAAUUCCUCUGAUCGUAAGGCUUAUCUGUUAUAAGUAUACAUCUGAUGGAAUAAACCUUUUUCUUGAAAAUGUAAAGCUGGGAAAACACUCGAACUUUGUGAGACAUUUGGUACGGUUAAUAAGUGGCUGAGGCGCCAGUCCCAAGUUUUAACAGAUCUGGCUAUAUAUGUGUGAAUCCAUGGAUAUUAUUUUUUUCAACAUUAUCUAAUGUGUUUAGGUAUUGUUGGGGCCUGUGAAGGACUGAUCAUCUUUCACAGACCAUUGCGUCUUAUCUAAAUCCAAUAUGUAAACAGGUUCGAGAAUUUGAUGUUAAAGGAAGGGGGACUUCCUAUUUGAAUUGAAAAGCUUUUAAAGGAAGGGUUAUUUCCAAAUUAAUUUGAAAAGCUUUUGAUUUAGAAGCGGAGGCUUCAACUUGAUUUAAAAAGCAAAUAAUUGUUGAUUUUUAAACUGUUUUCGAACCGUUACGUUUUACUAUGCUGCUUCUCCACUUGUUUUACUAUACAGCUUUACAUACUGAUUUGUUUACAGUACAUUUUUUUACUGUUUACCAUGCAUUUGAUUACUUUAUCACUUGCUGAGCAUUUUUGGCUCAUUCUUGCUUUUCAACCCUAACCUUUCAGCCAAGGACAAAGAUGUUUCACCCGAUUAGGCUGCGUGUGCGUGUAAGAGUAAUGAUAGGCAAGGAUUGCAAGUGGUUGAGUUUCAGGCAUAUGGUCAGGUAGAGUAUCCAGAAAGAUGUCAUUAAGACUAGUUGCAGUUGCAGUUGUGCAAUUUAAUUCAGUUGGGAAUUAGAUUUGUUUAUUUGGUUAUCAACUACUCUUCAUAUCGAGGUUUAGUUGAUAAUUUAGUUGAAGUUGUAUAAAAUUUGUAGUUUUGUUUUCUGAUUUCAAUACUAUAGCCUGUAUCGAUCCUGUUUUCAGGGGGUGAAAUUGAUUUGUAAUUUAAAUCAUUUUUAAAAUAUCCAAGUUUUAAAAUAUUUGUUUUUACUUUCUUUCAAAAAUACCGGUUUUUAAUUGUUUUUCUUUUAGUGGCUCAAAAAUACAGGUUUUAAAUUAUUUUUUUAUUUACACGUGGCACCAGAUCCAGACCCCCGGAUCUGUGGGAUGUCACAGUUGGUAUCAGAGCUGCAGGUUAUAAGUCAUUGAAAUCAGAAUAUAGGUGGUAAUAUCAGGUUUAAUAAAAAGGUGCGUUAAGUGUAACCUCACAUAGAGGUAGUCUACAACUAUUUGGAAUAGUGUGUGUCAAUAGAACCAAGAUUCACAUAUAGUAUUGACCUUGAGUAUAUCAUAGUGUGUAUAAUAGGUUUUCUGUUCCAGAACUAGCAAGUUUAUAUCUCAAGGAAGAAAGAACAGGCCUCCACCAGUUUUUAUUAUAUUGAGUAUUUAGUACUAAUACUAGCAACCAAAUAGAUUCACUUGUUGAGUCUAGAACGCCACUAAUUAUUUCAUAGUCCUUGUCACCAAGAUAGAGAUAAAUUAAAAGGGUUACUAUGAGUUGUUAUAUUGUGGAUUAAAAUUUCUUAACACCAGUUUAAUUGAGUUUCAAACUCAUAGUAGGUGGAUAAGAUUUUUGUCAGUGUUUAGCUUGUUAGUCGAUUUAGAGUCAAAACUAUUUGAAGGGUGAAAGAUAGACCUAUUAGUUGAGCUUUAAAAUUGGAAUCAGUUGAGGUCGGACCAGUAGAAGCAUUCCCAUAGUCUAGAGCAUCUUUUGAAGUAUUUGUCAAGUUUUGAGAACUAUUUGAAAGGUCACCUUUUGUUUCAUGUCAGUGAUAUAUAGAGUUGGUCAAAGAAUAUAGGUGUUACCAGGUCCGAGUUUCAAGCUUUGUAUAUAGUUAAGUAGUGAGCGUUGGAGCUACGUAGAGUUCGUAUUAGAUUACUCGAUCUAGUACCUAUGAGUGAGUUAAGAUGUCAACGCUCUAUGGUGAUGACUGCAUAAAGCUGGAAAAGAUUUCUGAUUGACAACUAUAUCGAUAACGGGAUCUUCAGAGGCUAUUACAAGUCAACGAUAAUAUAUGCAAGUGAUCACUAGAACGUCGAGAAGAAUCAUUACAAUCCAAAACGAGUCAUCAAAUGAAUCGUUCAAGAGGACAUCCAUGAAAAUCCUGGCAAUACCUUCCUCAUAUUCGAUAAUAUUGAUUUCUUUCCUCAUCAUUGAUUUGUUCUGACAUCACUUUCAUAAAGACAUUUGAUGAAGAAUAUAUCUUUCUGUCUCACUUGAGUUCUCGAAUGAUACUUGUGCUUACUGUAACACCUUUGGAAUCUAUUCAAUUUUGAUAAUUUCAAACCCUUUCAUAUUCUUUAUUCUAACCGAGGUGAACAACCCUACUUACAGGGGACACAAGGACUAUCUGUCUGUGUGAUAGAAGUUGGAUGGGACGCCAUCCCUUGUGUGUGUUGUAUAUACAAGAAGGUUAACUACCUUUAGUAGUGUCUUAAUCUAGACACACAACACUGAGUUCUUUAGAUCAUAUUGAUCUCUCAGUUAUCUCUCAUUUCAAAUGAGAUUUAUUUAACAUUCUUAUAAUCAUAUGACCACAAUCACGUGACAUUUGCUUCGAUAUAUGAAAUCUGUCAUACUUUUAAAUCUUCAUGAUUCUUGUUAUCUCUAAUAGUUUGGAGGUAUGCCAACCAAGUUGCUAACAUAAAUUAAGACUUUGUAGUAUAAAGCACCAGGGAUGAAAACGGAUGACAAUGCGGGUCAAUCAACAAAAAUUUUAUAUAGGAAAGAAAGAGUAUUAUGGAUUACAGAGAUCGUGCGCUCUAGUUUGCUUUUCGUUGAUUCCGAGGACGGAAUCCUUUUAAGGGUGGGAGAUUGUGACGACCCGGAUUUUUCAAAAUUUAUUUUGUUAGUUUAUUUGUGAUUCUUCAGAAAAAGUGGAAUAAAAUUUAAUAUUUUAUCCUAGUUUGAUAAAUUCUAAAAAUAUUUGUUUAAAUUAUUUUUCGGGUUCACUAGGGUAUCGAAAUUUUGUUGUCUGUUUUGAAUUAAAUGGCAUGUUAAAUACGUGAAUCACUUGUUAUAAGAUUUAACUGUUUAUUUGGAUGUAAUUUAUGCAUGUGUAUAUGUUUGUUACUAAUUAUUGUUUUGUUUUAGAAAUAUUUAUAAUUUUCUUAAAAAUAGAUUUUUGAAAGAUGAAUUCCUAAAAAUAUGAAAGCGAUUUCAAAAAUUCUUUUAAUUAUUUGAUAACGAUAAUAACUAUUUUUAGGAGUUUUUAUAAUAUUAAAAAUAUCACCUUCAUAAAGGUGUGACUUCUAAAUAUUUCCUGAAUGCAUUUAACUUCUAAAUUGCGUAUAAAUUUCAAAAUUGCUCUGUAAAUCUUGAAAGUUUUAUUUUAUUAGUUUUAAAAUAUUUCGGGAUUUAUAAAAAUAUUUCGGUAGUUGUCGGGAGAAAUUUUACUACAAGUUAUCUCCGUAAAAUAGUUAAAGCUGGUAUAAGAUUAGUGAUUAGCCAGCUCGUUAAGGACACGUGACAGCACAAGGCUCAGCCACGUGCCCCUAUUUUCGCCACCGCAAACCCUCUUUUCUUUUCUUCUCCAUACUUUUCUUUCACUCCAUUUUUUUCAUCAGUCUUGACUCUCUCCCUCACCAUUCUAUCCCGUCUCUCCUCUCUCGAUCACCCCUCCUUUCUUCUCUACUUUUCUGCUGUGUUACAAGCCACCGCGACGCCGCCCUCUGCCGCCGCGAUUCUCCGGCUAGUGUUGUCGCGGUUUCAAUCAAGCCGCCUGUGUAUUUCCGGCGAGCUCUCCACCCCGCACCUCCAGUUCAAUUAGUGGUAUAAAUUGUUUUAUUUCCUCUUUUCAUUAUAAAAUCAGUUUAUAUAUAUGGGUGUAUGUAAUUGUGAUGUGAUUACUGGGUAUACACCUUUUCUUCAAUAAAUCAGAGUAUAUAUGUGUGUAUAUGAUCAGAUUGCUAGUUGGGAGAUUUGUUUGAUAUGAAUAUCAAUUCGAUAUAUAAAUGAAGUAUAAGAGUUGGUUGCUAUGUGUUUUGAGUCUACAAAUUAAUGGGUGUUGAUAUUUGAUUUGAGAAUAUGAGUUUUGGGUAAUUUGUAUUGCGAUAUGAAAAAUUGAUAAUGCUAAAGCUUGGUUUUAUCUAAAUUCGGAUAAACUAGUGAUAUUGGUUUAUAUUGUAAGUGUAAGUUGAGGUCUGAAAUAAUUGGAUUGAGCUAACUUGAGUAAUUGAAGUAUAACUUGCGAAUUAUUUAGUCAAUUGAUUGUUAUGUUUAAUUUCGCAGCAACACUGUCCUGUUUUCUAGCUCUGUUUUGGGACUGUUGAAUUCGAGUGAUAUGCUCAAUUUCUUUGUGAUUAUAUGCUCCUUAGAGUCUAGUUUAUGUGCGCGAAAGAAUCGAUUCGAUUCGACUAGCGAGCUAGGAGAGAUAUGACCGUUUUAGUAUGGUAUGCGCUGAAAAUUCUGGGCAGGUGUGUCCUGUUCCUAGCCCUGUUUUGCUACCUUUGACUCGGUAUUUACUUCUGAAAUUUUUACUGAAGAUAUAUGUUGGGGUCUGGAAUGUGUCAUUAAAAUUCUAUACAAACAGACCAAUUUUUCUAUUUAUUAAAAAUCUUAGCAUCGGGCUGGUUUUGCAGGACAAUUUCUGGUGCCUGAUUUGCAGGCCUGUUUUACAGCUUUAAACUUGGAGUUUCUUCCUGAAAAGUUUACUGUAGGUUGGAAUAAUGGUUGGGAGUGUCCCAUAAAAAUUUCGUAUUAAAACGAUAUAUUUUCAAUUUAUUAAAAAUUAUAGAAUGAAGGUUGUUUGAACUAUUUGCUCUAGUUUUCUUUCUUUGUUAGUGCAUAAUACGAGGUUCUACUUGAUUAAUUGCAUAUGAUUGAUUAUUAAAUUGAUUGGCUCAGUUGACCUUGUAUAUGUUAUUAAACGUAUUUUGUGUAUAGUGAAUUAGCAAACAUGCUAAAAGCUUUUCUUAUGUGUUUUAUCGCAAGUCAAGGGAUCUUUUUAUAUUAAUAAUUCAUGUGUUAGCAAUAGUAUUGGUUGGUUGUUGGUAUUGCAAACAGGUGGAUAAGCCUAUAAACAAAGGAGAUGCUGCCGAAUUUUCGUUAGAAAUUAUAUGUAUUUAAUGGCUAUAAAAAGAGUUGUUUGUACAACUAUGUGCUAUGUGUUUAUCUGAUUAUGUGGUAUGCAUAUGCGAAGGGUAGAUAUAUAUAGGUCUUAAUGUUUU
rnacentral:lncRNA from 1 species